UGAAAUGAAAACGAACAAAAAAAAUAUUCUUGUAAUUAGGAAAACAACUUAAAGUUAAAACGACAUAUUAUUAAAUGAAUUUCAAUAUGUUUAUUGCAAA